rnacentral:rRNA from 1 species
CCUACGGGUGACAGCAGUGAGGAAUAUUGGUCAAUGGCCGUAAGGCUGAACCAGCCAAGUCGCGUGAAGGAAGAAGGAUCUAUGGUCUGUAAACUUCUUUUAUAGGGGAAUAAAGGUAUCCACGUGUGGAUCUUUGCAUGUACCCUAUGAAUAAGCAUCGGCUAACUCCGUGCCAGCAGCCGCGGUAAUACGGAGGAUGCGAGCGUUAUCCGGAUUUAUUGGGUUUAAAGGGUGCGUAGGUUGUUUUUUAAGUCAGCGGUGAAAGUUUGUGGCUCAACGAUAAAAUUGCCGUUGAAACUGGAAGACUUGAGUGUGUUUGAGGUAGGCGGAAUGCGUGGUGUAGCGGUGAAAUGCAUAGAUAUCACGCAGAACUCCGAUUGCGAAGGCAGCUUACUAAGCCAUAACUGACACUGAAGCACGAAAGCGUGGGGAGCAAACAGGAUUAGAUACCCUGGUAGUC